rnacentral:tRNA from 1 species
GCCGCGGUGGCACAACCUGGUACUGCGCAAGACUGGAAAGCAAUCUUGUUUCCUCACGGAUGUCCCGGUUCAAAUCCGGGCCGCGGCG